UGUAUCGAACGUGUUCCGCUUCCCUGCCACUUCUUACCCUGAAGUAUUACUAUUAGUAUUACUACUACUAUUAGUAGUACUAUUACUAGUAUUGAACUAUUAGAUUUUCAAAAAAACAUAUUAUAUCAAAUAAAGUGUUUUAUAUUGUGAACAAAGGAAGUGAUAUUGGUGGUGUAGGCGCGAAGCUGAUUCAGUUUCAACGAUGGAUAAGUUACAAGUGUUUUCCUAUAAACAUAGCUUUAAAAGCCCAGAAGCCAUUCUGGCAUUCAACUUUUUAAGUGAUCGCUUUAAUGAUCGUUUUGGGCACUCUAUGAAACGCGCACCGUUCCUAGAUGGACCGUGCAAAAUAUCAAAGACGUGCAUGCGUGAAAAUUCGCACUUACAAGAAGCACCUAUUAAAAAUAAAAACAUAAAAAUAAGCGAAAAAAUAAUAUGCGAAAUUAUCGACAAACACAAAUGACGAAAACGAAAGAAACAUCAUAAAAGCAAAGGAAGAGCAGCAGAUUGCGUCGCGAAUUUGACCUUGACAGGUUGACUUUAUUAACGAGUAUAUACACAUAGGCAAAAAUCGGCAGUUGAACUUAACAUUUUUAUUACCUGAAAACAUUGGCAAAUGCACUGAUAUCACUCAUAAAGGGGGAAUCGGGGGGGAACAUUUCCAAAAGUCUACUUAAACAUGAAAAAGACGUUCAUAUAAUACACAAAAAAUGUAUAGUUAAUUAAAAACACAUAAUGAAUAAAAUAUUUAUCAAAUAAAUUUCACAAUAAGUAACACGGUGCGACAGUGAAAAAACACUUG